UUGACCUCAAAUCAGGUAGGAUUACCYGCUGAACUUAAGCAUAUCAAUAAGCGGAGGAAAAGAAACUAACAAGGAUUCCCCUAGUAACUGCGAGUGAAGCGGGAAAAGCUCAAAUUUAAAAUCUGGCGGUCGUUGGCCGUCCGAGUUGUAAUCUAGAGAAGUGUUACCUGUGCUGGACCGUGUACAAGUCUCCUGGAAUGGAGCAUCAUAGAGGGUGAGAAUCCCGUCUUUGACAUGGACUGCCUGUACAUUAUGGUGCGCUCUCGAAGAGUCGAGUUGUUUGGGAAUGCAGCUCAAAAUGGGUGGUAAAUGCCAUCUAAAGCUAAAUAUUGGCGAGAGACCGAUAGCGAACAAGUACCGUGAGGGAAAGAUGAAAAGAACUUUGGAAAGAGAGUUAAACAGUACGUGAAAUUGCUGAAAGGGAAACGCUUGAAGUCAGUCRCGUUGGCUAGAAAUCAGCCUUGCUCUUGCUUGGUGUACUUUCUUGUCGACGGGUCAGCAUCAGUUUUGACCAUUGGAGAAGGACAUUGGGAAUGUGGCAUCCUUGGAUGUGUUAUAGCCCGGUGUCGCAUACGAUGGUUGGGAUUGAGGAACUCAGCACGCCGCAAGGCCGGGUCUCUGACCACGUUCGUGCUUAGGAUGCUGGCAUAAUGGCUUUAAUCGACCCGUC
rnacentral:rRNA from 1 species